UGCAAGUCGAGCGAACAGAUGAGAAGCUUGCUUCUCUGAUGUUAGCGGCGGACGGGUGAGUAACACGUGGGUAACCUACCUAUAAGACUGGGAUAACUCCGGGAAACCGGGGCUAAUACCUGAUAAUAUUUUGAACCGCAUGGUUCGAUAGUGAAAGGCGGCUUCGGCUGUCACUUAUAGAUGGACCCGCGCCGUAUUAGCUAGUUGGUAAGGUAAUGGCUUACCAAGGCGACGAUACGUAGCCGACCUGAGAGGGUGAUCGGCCACACUGGAACUGAGACACGGUCCAGACUCCUACGGGAGGCAGCAGUAGGGAAUCUUCCGCAAUGGGCGAAAGCCUGACGGAGCAACGCCGCGUGAGUGAUGAAGGUUUUCGGAUCGUAAAACUCUGUUGUUAGGGAAGAACAAAUUUGUUAGUAACUGAACAAGUCUUGACGGUACCUAACCAGAAAGCCACGGCUAACUACGUGCCAGCAGCCGCGGUAAUACGUAGGUGGCAAGCGUUAUCCGGAAUUAUUGGGCGUAAAGCGCGCGUAGGCGGUUUCUUAAGUCUGAUGUGAAAGCCCACGGCUCAACCGUGGAGGGUCAUUGGAAACUGGGGAACUUGAGUGCAGAAGAGGAGAGUGGAAUUCCAUGUGUAGCGGUGAAAUGCGCAGAGAUAUGGAGGAACACCAGUGGCGAAGGCGGCUCUCUGGUCUGUAACUGACGCUGAUGUGCGAAAGCGUGGGGAUCAAACAGGAUUAGAUACCCUGGUAGUCCACGCCGUAAACGAUGAGUGCU
rnacentral:rRNA from 1 species